rnacentral:rRNA from 1 species
UACGAAGGGGCUAGCGUUGUUCGGAAUUACUGGGCGUAAAGCGCAUGUAGGCGGCCAUUCAAGUCGGGGGUGAAAUCCUGGAGCUCAACUCCAGAACUGCCUUCGAUACUGUCUGGCUCGAGUGUGGAAGAGGUUGGUGGAACUGCAAGUGUAGAGGUGAAAUUCGUAGAUAUUUGCAAGAACACCAGUGGCGAAGGCGGCCACUGGUCCGU